GAUCGAUAACUUUUUGGUAUUUUCAUUGAAAGCUUAAAUUUUAAAUUGUAGAAUAUAUUCAUAAAGGAUAGGACAGAAGGACAAAGCCCACUUUUGCGUGCGGCCAAGACAAUAAAGCCAACUCGGUGGGGAACUUCUCAGCCAGCUGGGAUACCGCCCGCUGUUCCAACUGGCUUUUGUGUGGUCCAGGAGCUACUGCACUGCAUGUGUGAUAAAAAAGGAUAAGAGGGAACUUUGGCACGCCCAUCUAACACCCAGAACACCCAAACGCCCCAACACCCGCCCAAGAAUACAAGACAAUAUGCUCACGGCUCCAUGGAUAACUUCGUGGUUUGACAAAGCGACGACUAGGACGAUGCCUAGAAGGACGACUAGGACUACCAGGACGACGCCUAGGACGACGUCAACAUUGCAUGAAAAAUGGCACUUGAUAAGGCGCCCAAGGGGUGGAAUGUGGGAAAAGGAGUCAUCCUGCCGAGCAGGAAGUGUGAAGCGGCGUGCAUAACAAAAUGGAGGAGCAACCUCACUCUGUGUGUAUGUGUGUGUGUGAGUUUCGGGAGAAGUGAAGUUGCAGCUUGCCCCGCGGGCAGCCAUUUCUCUCUCAGCCUCCUGUUCUCCUUCCCUGCAUAACUUCCGUUAACCCGCUUUUUCCACCGAGUAAAUAGCAAAAGGCGCGUGUAGUCGCCUUCUUCGGGGCUUUUCAGCGGCAAACCACCAGCUAGUGUUGUCAAAAUAAUAAUAGUAAUAGCGGCUAAAAUAAUAUUUUAAGCUCUGAAUAAAAUCAUUAUACCCUUUGCUUUAAA